UCGGGAAUCUUGGACAAUGGGCGCAAGCCUGAUCCAGCCAUGCCGCGUGAGUGAUGAAGGCCUUAGGGUUGUAAAACUCUUUCGCCGAGGACGAUAAUGACGGUACUCGGAGAAGAAGCUCCGGCUAACUUCGUGCCAGCAGCCGCGGUAAUACGAAGGGGGCUAGCGUUGUUCGGAUUUACUGGGCGUAAAGCGCGUGUAGGCGGGUCGUUAAGUUGGGGGUGAAAUCCCGAGGCUCAACCUCGGAACUGCCUCCAAAACUGGCGACCUGGAGCAGAUGAGAGGCGAGUGGAAUUCCGAGUGUAGAGGUGAAAUUCGUAGAUAUUCGGAGGAACACCGGUGGCGAAGGCGGCAUCCUGGACCAUUACUGACACUGAACCGCGAAAGCUAGGGGAGCAAACGGGAUUAGAUACCCCCGUAGUCCCUGAGCGGGCUGGCAAGGCGCAU
rnacentral:rRNA from 1 species